rnacentral:rRNA from 1 species
ACAUCCAGCGAACUUGGCAGAGAUGCCUUGGUGCCUUCGGGAACGCUGAGACAGGUGCUGCAUGGCUGUCGUCAGCUCGUGUUGUGAAAUGUUGGGUUAAGUCCCGNAACGAGCGCAACCCUUAUCCUUUGUUGCCAGCGAUUCGGUCGGGAACUCAAAGGAGACUGCCGGUGAUAAACCGGAGGAAGGUGGGGAUGACGUCAAGUCAUCAUGGCCCUUACGAGUAGGGCUACACACGUGCUACGAUGGCGCAUACAAAGAGAAGCGACCUCGCGAGAGCAAGCGGACCUCAUAAAGUGCGUCGUAGUCCGGAUCGGAGUCUGCAACUCGACUCCGUGAAGUCGGAAUCGCUAGUAAUCGUGGAUCAGAAUGCCACGGUGAAUACGUUCCCGGGCCUUGUACACACCGCCCGUCACACCAUGGGAGUGGGUUGCAAAAGAAGUAGGUAGCUUAACCUUCGGGAGGGCGCUUACCACUUUGUGAUUCAUGACUGGGGUGAAGUCGUAACAAGGUAGGCGUAGCGAG